ensembl:lncRNA
GUGUGAGUCCUGUUUAGGAGUAGGAAUUUAUCGGGAGGCCCGCCCGAAUCCGUUCUAGUUUAAUUCCAAUAUAUAUGAGAGAGCUAUAGUCUUCGAAACCUUAUAUUCACCACCUCUUCAUCAACCCACUCUCACCACCACGUAGUCACCACUUCGUCAUAAAAUGUGUAGUGGUGCUCCAAAAAAUUGUGGGCUCUAAGUGGAGUUGUUUUGAGAACAAGGCUGGCCUGUUAGGGCGGGACAGUAUCCAUCCCACUCAGGAAAGUACUGCUCUCAUUUACACAAUUAUGGAAAAGCUUUCCAAUUAGUGUUCGGGACUCAGACACAGUCUCAGUGUUUAAGUCCAGGCUGAAAACGUAUUUGUUUACUCAAGCUGUUUGUGAAUAGUUUUGUUCUUAGGUAAAGGAACAGAUCUAGAGGCUCACAGGUAUAGAGUGUUGUGGUGAACUGGGAUGUUUGGAUGAUGUCCCCCACCACACACACACUUUCACAUUUUCACUUUCACCCAGGUUUGUUGAUGGUGGAGUGGCUGGUCACCUUAUGUCCCAGGGAUCCCUCAUGUCUGUGUUCCCUUCUGGUUCUCACUUUUAGGGUAUCCAUCCUGAUGCCCUACUUCUGGUUGGAGUUCUCAUCAGUUGGAAGUCACAUGCUGCUGCUGAGGAUGUCCCCACAUGGUGCAACCUAAAGAUCAUUGAGAUUACUGAGGAUGGUACCACUUAAAAACCAUAAAGAUGACUUUGGACCACAGUUCAUAUAAACAGUUAUGCUAUGAUAGCUUUAGGACUUCAAUUACCACAAACAGUAUUAGACUCCAAUCUCCAUCAGGGAACAGUGGAUGAGUUGAACAAAACAGACUUCAUGUAAAAACUGUAAUGAAGGGAGUGAAUACACAGUAUAUCACAUAUUAGUUGCAGUAAACUUAACUUUUAUGUUGGGGUGAUACCAUAGUUGUUGGGUAAAAUGCAAAUAAAUCUGAUCAUAUAGUGGAUGAGUUUACAAAAUUGUUUUAAAAAUAAACAUAAAACAAACCAAACAUUUACAUUUACAUUUAUUCAUUUAGCAGACACAUUUAUCCAAAGCGACUUACAAAUGAGGAAAUACAAGCAAUGCAAAGCGAGAACAAUACAAAUAGUGCUACUGUACACGAUCUUUAAUUGAGUUCUCGAGAAGCAAAGUGCGCAGAGUCCAGGUGUAAGUUUUUCAAAUAGAUGCAUAAUGAAUAUCCUCACUCAUAAUGUAAUGUAAAUUAAUUAUAAUUACAUUCACACACUGACUUCCUUGUACUGUGCACAUGGUAAUUAUUUACAAUCAUCAAAUUUCUGGAUUUCCCCAAUAACUUCCAUUUUUACAUUCCACACAUUUCUCAUCACAUUAACUUGACAAACAAUCUAAGAUUGUUGUCACCUAAUGGUAACUAUAAGAAUUGUACAUCUACUACACAGCAUGAAGAAAUACAUAUGAAACAAAAAUGCUAAAUUGAAACAUCUGCACAAAUGAAAACACGAACUAGAUUAAAAUGAAUUUUAACACAUUAAUUUACGGAAAAACAUUUUUCAAUAUUUUUCAAACAUUACUAAACAGAAUGAUUACUGUUAGCCAAAUGAACAACCGAAAAAAGUGAAAUAUUGGUAAUAAUUGCUCUCAUGUAUGGUCAGUUGUAUGAACAGUUGUACUGUGUAAAUAAUUGUUUUUUAGUUCCUGUGUAUGUCUAGGACAUAAAUUUUACCUAGAUUUUAUUCUGACUUUUGUAAGAAUUCAGUUCAUUUUUGUUUAUAUCGUGCUUUUAAGAAUGGACAUUAUCACAAAGCAGCUUUACAGAAAUCCAGAUAUAGAUGUAAAUUUGUCCCUAAUGAACAACCCCGAGGUGACGGUGGUGAGGAAAAACUCCCUGAGACGAUAUGAGGAAGAAACCUUGAGAGGAACCAGACUCAAAAGGGAAAGAUGUGCUCAUCUGGGUGACACUGGAUAGUGCGAUUAUCAAUAAAUACACAUCUCCUAUAAAUGUGCUAAUGCUACAUGCUCGAGUGCAGAGUGCAGAAUUGUUUGUGGUAAUUGUAGUGCUAAAGCUAUCACAGCAUAACUGUUCGUAUGAAUUGAGGUCUAAAGCGAUCUUUAUGUUGUUUAAGUGGUACCAUCCUCGGUAAUCCCAUUGAUUGAAUACACCUGACUCUUAUUUCACCUUCAAAUUAACUGCUAAUCCUAGGGGUUCACAUACUUUUUCCACUCACAAAUGUGUAAUAUUGAAUAAUUUUCUUCAAUAAAUAAAUGUCCAAGUAUAAUAUUUUUGUCUCAUUUGUUUAACUGGGUUUUCUUUGUCUACUUUUAGGAUGUCUAUGAAAAUCUGAUAAUGUUUUUGGUCAUAUUUAUG